rnacentral:ncRNA from 1 species
GGGGAGUACGUUUGCAAUGAAACUCGAAAGAAUUGACGGGGGCCCGCACAAGCGGUGGAGCAUGCGGUUUAAUUCGAUGCAAAGUGAAGAACCUUACCAGGACAUGACAUGCCGCGAAUCCUCUUGAAAGAGAGGGGUGCCCUCGGGAACGCGGACACAGAUGGUGCAUGCCUGUCGUCAGCUCAUGCCGUAAGGUGUUGGAUUAAGUCUCGCAACGAACCCAACCCUCGUGUUUAGUUGCCAAGUUUGGAACCCUCAGCUCAGGCUUCCUAUUUACUGGGCGUUCAGGCAGAAAGCAAACACGUCGAGGUAUGGCUUCCGGCGACGCACAGGCCAUGCGGAUUGGUCUCAGGUGUUCGAAGCGGCAUGUCGAAGCUCCACAGCAAAUUCUUCCAUCACCAUCCGAACCUAAGUAGCAUGGGCUGCAUUUUUCUGCCAGGGGCGUUUAAUUUCCCUUUUCUCUGCCAACAGCAAUUCAGUUCACGGGCUGUUUUCU